GGGGGAUAACUACUGGAAACGGUAGCUAAUACCGCAUAACGUCGCAAGACCAAAGAGGGGGACCUUCGGGCCUCUUGCCAUCGGAUGUGCCCAGAUGGGAUUAGUUUGUAGGUGAGGUAACGGCUCACCUAGGCGACGAUCCCUAGCUGGUCUGAGAGGAUGACCAGCCACACUGGAACUGAGACACGGUCCAGACUCCUACGGGAGGCAGCAGUGGGGAAUAUUGCACAAUGGGCGCAAGCCUGAUGCAGCCAUGCCGCGUGUAUGAAGAAGGCCUUCGGGUUGUAAAGUACUUUCAGCGGGGAGGAAGGGAGUGAGGUUAAUAACCUCAUUCAUUGACGUUACCCGCAGAAGAAGCACCGGCUAACUCCGUGCCAGCAGCCGCGGUAAUACGGAGGGUGCGAGCGUUAAUCGGAAUUACUGGGCGUAAAGCGCACGCAGGCGGUCUGUCAAGUCGGAUGUGAAAUCCCCGGGCUCAACCUGGGAACUGCAUUCGAAACUGGCAGGCUGGAGUCUUGUAGAGGGGGGUAGAAUUCCAGGUGUAGCGGUGAAAUGCGUAGAGAUCUGGAGGAAUACCGGUGGCGAAGGCGGCCCCCCGGACAAAGACUGACGCUCAGGUGCGAAAGCGUGGGGAGCAAACAGGAUUAGAUACCCUGGUAGUCCACGCUGUAAACGAUGUCGACUUGGAGGUUGUUCCCUUGAGGAGUGGCUUCCGGAGCUAACG
rnacentral:rRNA from 1 species